rnacentral:rRNA from 1 species
AUUGAACGCUGGCGGCAGGCCUAACACAUGCAAGUCGAACGAGUGGCGGACGGGUGAGUAAUGUCUGGGAAACUGCCCGAUGGAGGGGGAUAACUACUGGAAACGGUAGCUAAUACCGCAUACCAUCGGAUGUGCCCAGAUGGGAUUAGCUAGUAGGUGGGGUAAAGGCUCACCUAGGCGACGAUCCCUAGCUGGUCUGAGAGGACGACCGGCCACACUGGAACUGAGACACGGUCCAGACUCCUACGGGAUGCAGCAGUGGGGAAUCUUGCACAGUGGGCGCAAGCCUGAUGCAGCCAUUCCGCGUGUAUGAAGAAGGCCUUCGGGUUGUAAAGUACUUUUGGCUAGGAAGCGUUACGUGCAGAAUAAGCACCGGCUAACUCCGUGCCAGCAGCCGCGGUAAUAC